CCUACAGGGGACAAGGCAGCCGGCUCCCACCCUAGUCCUCAACUCACACACACAGCCUGCCCGCCGGCCUAGCUGCUCUGCUCGGAGGCUGCCCGCGCUGGGCCUUCCCAGCCGAUGAGUCAAGCUGCCUGCCGCUCACUCUCACUGGGAUGGCUCACUCUCACUGGGAUCGGCUCUUGGGCGGCCUCCCCUGAGGGAGUCUUCCCGGCAGCCCUGAGAGGGGCAGCCCUGAGAGGGGACGUCCCUAUCAUAUCUCAGUCUCCUAUUCCAUGUAGGCGGAAAGCCCUUAGCCCAGAGAGAUCAGGUCACACCCAAGCUUGCCAGGAUGUGAUCUGAGAUCUGCCUGACUCGGGGCCGGCACACAGUGGGCACAAGGGAAUCACUGGCCAGAGGGGUUUAGCUGCUAUGAGCACCUACUGUGUGCUGAAAGCUCGGGGGGAAGCAAGAAGCCUGACAGUGGGUCCGUUCUCCAGACCUCAUGGUCUCAGGCUGAUGACAAGAUCGCCAGGAACAGCAGCUACCACUGACUGGGCGCUACAUCCCACAGGCCCUGGCCUCAGCCCCUCAGUGAUGCCACCACACGGUGGGCCCUGUCAUCACCACAUUUGGCAGGAAACUCAAAGAAACAUCUGAGGGGUCCCGGCCAGGCAAGAAGGUCUGCCUCACCAUGUCGCAUGUGGGACGUGGGCUGGAACACGGGUGCCAGGGGCAUCUGCCGCAAGACGCUGGGCCGAGACAUCUUUAGCUCUCCGAGGCCUGAGGAGCAAGGGUGGGAGGAGGGGCUGCUGUGUGGACGGAGUGUGCAGGGAACCUUCAGAGGCAGGCUCCAUGUGCCCCCUCCCCAUGCGCCCGCCCACCUACCCUGGUGGCCCUUUUGCUGCAGCCAGCAGCGAGCCAGCUGCAAGGCCAAGGCGGCGUUGGACCGCUGGUGCUCUCCCUCCAGGCCCAGGGUCAGCGGUGGCCCACCUUCCUCCAGGGCUUCGAGUGAUGGGCACAGGUAGAGAGGACACUACCAAGGAGACGGGCAACAGCGGGUCAGGGGAACCCUCCCUGAUGCUGUGGAUCCUUCUGUCCUGCUCUGGGAACCACAGUGUACUCCAGAUGGCUGAGCAGUUGUCCCUUACUGCACAGAUGGGCAAACUGAGGCCCAAAAGGAAGACGUGCCUGCCCAGUGGCUACCACCCCCAACCCCGGGGUCUCCAAACUCACGGAGAUCUGCUGGGCACGGUCCCGCAGCACUGCCAGGGGACCGUCAGGCUGGAGCACCGUGAAGGCAGGGACACCACACUGCAAAGGAAGAGGAAGAGAGAGAUACAGAUUGCUGCGGGUCCUCCGUCCUGGGGUCUGACAGCUCACUUCACCUGCCCUCCAGAGGGGAGGGGCUUCUUGCUCCAGACCCCGCUGAUGGCGGAGACCUUAUCCUGAGUUAGAAUACAGGUGACCCUGCCCCAUCCCCACUUCCCUAAGCCUUGAGGGCCAGGGCCAGGCCCAGGGCUCCCAUAUAUCUCCUUUCCCCAGGGCUGUCUGAUACCUUGAAGAUGCCCCCUUUCUGCCAUGCGAUCGCCUCCACUGUGUCCCCCAGAAGGCUGGUGUGGUCGAUGCCAAGAGAGGAGAUGCCACACACCACAGGCUUCCUGCAGGAGACAGAAAGGACUUGAUGGUGCUGCCUGGGGCUCAUGGCCGCCGUCGGUUCUCCCCAAGCAGUGGUUCUCACCUGAUGAUGUUGGUACAGUCGUAAGCGCCACCAAUGCCCACUUCCACCACUGCUAGGUCCACCUGCAGAGGCACAGGAGGCACGUCAGGGGUCCUAUUCCCCCAGCCUGCUGAGAUUCCCCUCCCCACGGCCUCAGACACAGGACUCAGGGGAAUGGGCACGUACCUUCUCUUGGAGGAAGAUGUGGAAGGCCAUGAGUGUGAGGAAGCGGAAGUAGGCGGGCAUGGAGACACAGCUGCUGCUGUCCUGUGGACAAGAACAUGUCAGAGCCCUGGGCCCUGCCGCUUCUGCUCUGGGGAGAUGGGGUUCUGGGGCAUACAGCCCCCUCUGGGUCUCUCCAGCGCCCCUACCCGGCCCCCGCACCGGCCCUCCUGCAUGCGCACCUUGGUCUCCUCCAGCCGAUGGUAGAGGUGCCAAAAGUGCUUGGUGAAGAGCUCGGGGCUUAUGGGCUGCCCGUUGAUGCGGAUCCGCUCCCGCACCUGCACCAGGUGGGGAGAGCU